GUGACAGAACGCAAAGUGUUUAUAAAGAGAAGGCAGCUUGUCGUGAAACACGCGUUAACGUGUACCACUUAUGUGACUAUGUAAGCAUCAGGGAGACUUUUAAAAAGUAUUUUUCAAUUCGGUGGUCGGGUGCGACACCAGAAAGAAAAAAAUUCAUACUUGGAGAUCUACAACCAGUCCGAAAUGCGGGUGACUCGCCAGAAUGCUGGUACACUGAAUUCAGAAACACAACAGAUAGACUCACAAUAGUAGGAACAAGUGCAAAUAUAGAUUGUCAGCAGCUACAAUGGUAACAUAUCAGUGACAUCUUCGGGUAUUCCAUGCCAAUCAUGGACAGAACAAUGUCCACAUCGUCAUACCAUGAACACCACAUAUCCAGAA